rnacentral:rRNA from 3 species
GACGAAGGAUGCAAGCGUUAUCCGGAUUCAUUGGGUUUAAAGGGUGCGUAGGCGGCCAGAUAAGUCAGUGGUGAAAUCUCCUUGCUUAACAAGGAAACUGCCAUUGAUACUGUUUGGCUUGAGUAUAGUUGCUGUGGGCGGAAUAUGACAUGUAGUGGUGAAAUACAUAGAGAUGUCAUAGAACACCGAUUGCGAAGGCAGCUCACAAAACUAUAACUGACGCUGAGGCACGAAAGUGCGGGGAUCAAACAGG